ACGUUCGAAUAACGACUGGCUGCGGUCAUCGUCGAUGAUAUAAUCGAUGUUUACCCCGAUCGAUUGAUAUCCAUGAUGCAACAACGAUGCAAAACAACCGUCUGCGACAAACGCAGUGAACGUGUCAACCGUCUAGUUUCUAAUGGACGAACGAAACAAAGAGCUGGAAUGGAAAUUAUAAACACGUAGUAUCCUGACGCGAGGCCGCAAUGAUUCCGAGCCGUUUACUGCAAGGAUUAUCGCGUUUAGUAACGCGUAGCUCGCGAUUAUUGGUUGCGCAAUGCGAGUCAUCGAGGCAGAGAAAAACGGAACGGGGCAUCACGCGUGAAUGUCAACAGUCAUGGGGAAAAAGCUCGAGUUAGAAGAAAAACACGAACGGGAUAAGCGGCGUCUGAAGUUCACGCGGCCAUCGAUCCGUCCGUCCGGUUAUAAUUCAUUUUUCAAACGAUACGUCGUUCAUGUUCUGCUCGAGUUUCGAAGUUCAACCGAGAGGCUGACUCGUGCCCCAAUUCUUCUACACGAUUGCGGAGCAUGAAACGAGGAAACAAUGUCCGUAGAGAUUGAAGUUCGCGCACGAGAAUAGAUACGAGUACGUACAUCGAAAUCAUCAAUAAUAACAUUCAAUGAAAUAUGGAUCUAUUAUUGACAAUGUAUACAUCGUAGUUUCGCUUACGUCGACUUUAACCCUGCUGUUUUCACUCGCGCUUUCACUUAUUGACACCGACAAAUAAUAUCUAUAAUUCUUUCGAAAAUUUCUUUCUCAGAAAUCUGAAGAGAAAUUGCUGUUCCCAUGCUUCAUGGUAAGUUUGAAAAAUUUUAAUAAGUCGUCAGAUAAAGAUUGUCAGAAGAAAAUUCCUCGGGGUCAGCGAUCGUAUCCACGCGCCUACUACUUUUCUUAGAUCCAUUCGACGUGUCUACAGCGUGCAUAGAUAUCAAUUAUAGACAAACGUACAAAGUUAGAAUCGCUAAUCUAAUGUUAGAAGCGUGUCGCAGUACAUACGUUUUAUCUGUAAUGUAAGCCACGCGCUUCCAAGUUUUUAUGCCUUUUUUUUUUGUCAUUAGAAUUCCACUAGCUCGUAUACACUUUACUGUAAAGUGGCGAUAAUUAACAGAGCUAAUCACAGAUGCUGUAAUUUGUACCAUAAAGUUGCAUACCAAAAUAUUGUUCAACUCUCGAGGCAUGAUUUCAUCGAAAAACGAGUUUGACUUUCAGCUCCUCCAGGUAUUAAUUACAUCAGCUCGAAGUUACACGGUUCAAUGGAAUAUCGAGUGCACUUCAUUUCUCACAUUCACCGAGCGCGUAGCAUCGAUCGAAAAUCGAGCAACAAUUUCGAGCAGUCGGCCAGGUGGGUAUCUGACGGUUACGAAAGAUCGUGCAACAACGAACGGUGUAUCGGCGGUGUUAUCAGGGGCUCUUUCGAGGCGGGAACACGAUAAUCGGAGCUGUCGUGUCCGUCAACGCGAAUAGUCCGUGGCACACCUAUCGGCAACGGACGUGAAAUAUGGGCGAAAGUAUUUCCUUCGAGGCGUGAUCAUGUAAUAUCACUCGCGUAACAUUGUGUCGUUACGUUGGAUAACGGUUCCUUUUCGAACGGCAACGAAAAAUAAUCGGCCACGUCAACGGCGACGCGAUUUCAGGUGCGAUUCGAGUCUUGCGCAACCAUCUCGCCCUUCGCAACAAUUAACGCGUUAAUCGUGCGAUUGCUCGCAACGCGAGUCGCAAACACUUGAACGAUCUCUUAUCAAAGGGUCGAGUACAGGUUGUCCAGCCGUCCGAAAUUUCGACGAUAGCGUUUCCGGCGGAACAGCGUUACCCACCGGUCGGAAUCGCGACAGCAGCUGGCGUGGCACGCCGCGCCGCGCCGCGCCGCGUUGUCCACCACCGUAAGCCCUUCGUGUCAGCCACGGAGAAUUACUUCGGCGUGUAUAAACGCGAAUAGAGUGGCUCGCGAAACAUUGUGAAACCCGUUGCGCUACGUUUGCCAGCAUUAACGCGGGCCCCGCGGCUUAAACCCGUUGGCAAUGAAUUCCCGCCGCUGAUAGCCGCUUAUGUCACGGUGAAAGCUAAACGGGUCAAAAGGCGUAAUUAACGCGAACGUAAUACUGUUUACGGGGAGGAUACACGAGCCGUUCGUAUCACGGACUGAAACGUUGGAAAGUUUUGAAAAAAACAAACAAUUCGAACUCUCUUCAUUUUCACUAUAGCGAUGCAAUAAGAAUUCUAUGACGAUCCAUGCCAUCAUCCAUUUACGGAGCACAAAACAACGAAGGUGUCGAGUGGUUUGAACGAGCUGGAUCGAAAGAACUUCCUGUUAACGAUGAAUCGUAAGGAAAAACACGCCGCAACAAACAUCCAUCGUAAUUCCACUAAUAAUAAAGCGUUGACGCGGUUCGUCGCUUAUGCCGAGCGCUGAUUAUGGCGCUAAGACUUCUCGGAAGAAAGGCGAUUGCAUUCGACUGGCGGCGAUGUAAAUAACACGCGGUGACGCACAAGAAAUUCCAUAGGAGUCGCUAUUUAUAGGAGAGUGAUAUUGCAGAUAUCCUGGACGCAGGUACGUUAGCGACCAGGUGGUAAUAGCGAAGGCCGAAAGGAAUUCCCUUUACCUUCGAUCAGACCGAUUAAAUAUGCGCCGGUUGCUCGUCCUGAAUACCUCGGACGCCAACUGAACCGACUUCCAGGAAAAAUAGAGAUUGUUUUCGAAAAUAUUCUCAAGGAAAUUUUCAGUUUCCUUUUUAUUUAUCGAGGAACACUUCUAAGGGACGAAAAAUCACUCUGGAAGAUUGCCAUAUUUUUCAAAUUUAACGAUUCGACGAAUACUGAUAUUAAAAUGGCCAGAGGUGAAACGGAACUGAAAUUUUAAUUAAUUAAGCCACUAAUUAACGUAUCAUGCUGGUCAUUGAUCGCCUCUAGGCAAUCGAUUCGUCAAUAAUCGAGGGAGACUAGAUUUUUCAAUAUCGCAAACAACAAAUACUGUAUAAAAAAAAAAGCAAGACGAUUAUGAAACAUUUUCUAGAUAUCUCCUCGAGCGACUUACGCUCGUUCAUAAGCGACGACAACGUUUUGCAUGCAAUGGCGUGUUUACGCCGGCCAACAACAAUGUUACGGGCAAAUCCUAAUUACGUAACUGUGUUACAUAACUGUUUUGCCUUGCUCGACAACCAACGAACGAAUACUUUCGUGGAGACGUCAAACGCUUUCUUCCUUUCCGCGCUCGAAUACGACACGUGGAAGGCGAACGAAGCGAAUUCGCGGCUCGUGGUUUACACUGCUUGUAGCUUGCAAAUGCACGGAACGAUCCAUCUUCCGUUUCGUUUAAUUGGGCUUGAUAAUCGAACGAGAUUACGAGAUGUCGUGAUAGUGGUAGGCUACGUUCUAAUGUCCCUAAUGUCCAUAGCGCUGUAUAAUUAUCCAUGCUUAUUAAACGGUUAUGUAAAAUUCGAAUUUAUCGCCGCGGCGGCGCCAAACGCGCGGCGACGUUAGGUAAGCUGUAAUCACUGAAAAACUUCGAUGAGAACGCAUCGUUUUUCUCGUGUACACGGUUAUUACGACAAAUUGCGUUCGGGGAAACACGCGAACGAUAGGGGAAAUCGUCUGGACGGUGAUUUUCAACUUGUCGUUCUUCUGCGACGUUUAUGCGGGAAAGGGGGAGGAUGACAAGUGGGGGGCGUCGUCAUUUUUCCUAAGAAAGUCUACCAUGCUCGGUAUUAUGCGCAAACAGUUGCUCGGAACUCAUCAAAACAGAAUACCUUAUUUAAAUGAAAUUAAUUUGUAUAACUUCUCAAAAAACCUCAAGUCAUUUGGUCCAAUUUUAAAUGAGGUAUUCUGUUUUAUAGAGUGUCCGAAUACUUUUCCGAGCCACUGUAUGUACACAUCGACGAUCAUUAUGUGCAGAAAUUUAAUUUUAAAAAUGGUACAAAGAGUGCAGAUGAACAGAAAUCGAAUGAAAUGUUUACGUCUGAAUACAUUCGUAUAAAAAAAAAAAUAAUAAAGUUGGAAAUUAUUCACAUCGGACAUUUUGGACAGAUCGUCUGGGCUGUAUGUGUAUACAUAUGUAUAUAUAUAUAUAUAUAUUUAUAUGUAUACAAAUUUUUUCGCGUUCGUCAGCCAGUACAGGAAGGAGUGGCUAUAAAUAGCGGCGUAACGUCACGCGGGAAACCGAAAAAAGGUCGUCGACUCGUUUCACGCGCGCCACUGUUCAUUCAUAUUUAUAGCGAUGAAUGAAAACUCCGUGCCGAGUAGUUUUGAUCAAGCGACGGAAAGUCCGUCGACAUCGUGCCCGUCCCUCUCUCUCCCUUUCUCUUUCGCCUUUUUUCCUGUUUUUGGACACCGGAAAAUAAAAAAAUAUUCUCUACGUGCUCUGCUGCUUGAAAACGUACGCGAUUUCACGGAAUUUCAAAUUAGAAUUUUGUUUAUAAAUUUGAUAAAUAUUAGAAUCGAUUCGUGAAGAAAAUAGAAGAUGAUUAAUAAUAUAAAAUGAAAAUACGCUAAUUUAGGCUUUUAUUUUGGAAAUUCGUUGCUCCGGAGUGAAUCUAAAGCCGUGUUACAAAUGAAAUGAUCUUUGAAACGAGGAAAUAGGAUUUCUAACGUUUAAUCGGAAAAAUUGCCACCUGGAAAACUGCCUCUUUCCUAUCAACGAUCAUUUUUCCGGCCGUAUGUUCGCUUUUUCGACGAUUCUUUUCUUUCGCGAUCGAAACAAGAUUAGCCGCGAACAACAAUUCGAUACGUGACCGAAAACGUUGUUAUCGUCUUCUCGAUUUUACCUGCCCCGUCAAGGCUCUCACGAAACUCUAGAAAACUCACGAGAGUAUAAAUAAACGCCGUGGCUAGUUUUUCGUUUUCCUAUCAUGGCCUUCUCUUUUUCCUUAUGUUUUCGAGAUUAAACGACAGCGUCUCGACUGCCAGAAAACACGGUUCGAUGAUCCACGAAAGCUGCGAUAAGAAGGGAAACGAGAUCAAUAUUGAACGAGGGCUGCAUGAAAAUAAGAAAUAAUCGCGGUGAAAAGCGGCCAGGGGAUCGACGAUAUCGUUAUCUAACCCUUCCAGUUCACAUAUCUGGGGAAAAGCAACGCCGCUAUGGCUCACUUCCUGAAGAUAAUGCACGCACCGUGCCAGGUGAAAUAAGCUCGAUUAUUCGCACGCCACGACUUGACUGACAACGAAUGCCUGUUAAUUUUCAUUUUCUCAAAACUGAAAAUUUCGAGAAACUUCAACCGCGAAACAUGAGUCGAUUUACAUUAAAAUCAAACGACGAGUGAUAUUUGUCCUUCGAGUGCAAAUGGUUAAAAUAUUCGCAUAAUCUUAAUAAAAUUUAUUUACGCGAUACGAACAACGUACCAAGUUCUAUUUUUAUUACCAAUAAAAUUGAAAAUGAUCUUGAAGAUUUGUGCUGUUUCCAUGGACCUUAGGAGGCGUCUAUGAAAUAUGAGCAAUGAGCGUAAUUGAAAAAAAGAAGGCAAAUAAACGAUACAAAAACGUUGACCGGUAAACUUUUCGCGGGAUUUUCGAGGAGCACACCGGCGCGGCGUUUCACAGCUCGCUUCCUGAAGAUAAUGUACACAAGCCGGGUCUGAAACGGGGUCAACUGUUUGCGCAUAACGCCUAAUGGAAACGAGUACACGGUGGUCGGCUGAAUGACACGCACCGCGUGUCAAGGCUUUUUCGCGUCAUUUAUUGCACGCCACGGUUCGCGAAGUUAAUUAAACUUCGCCCUAAUGAUACGUAAUAUAUAUAAUUAACUGCGUACAAGCCGUGUUCGUGUACCGGCGAUUUAUUGUACACGUGCCGCGCGAAAAAUUUGCUCGAUCAAAUAAUGCACCAACCACGAGUCUACGCGUCUGUUUAUUUCUCUUUCAUUUUGGUUACUGUAUCUGAUAAUGUUGUCAAAUAAAUAAAAUAAAUGAAAUUUA